rnacentral:tRNA from 1 species
UCCCUGGUGGUCCAGUGGUUAGGACUCUGCACUCUCAGUGCAGGGUGCUUAGGUUCAAUCUCUGGUCAGAAAA